GACGAACGCUGGCGGCGUGCUUAACACAUGCAAGUCGAGCGGUAAGGCCCUUUCGGGGGUACACGAGCGGCGAACGGGUGAGUAACACGUGGGUGACCUGCCCUCAGCUCUGGGAUAAGCCUGGGAAACCGGGUCUAAUACCGGAUAUGACUCCAUGACGCAUGUUGUGGGGUGGAAAGCCUUGUGCGGCUGAGGAUGGGCCCGCGGCCUAUCAGCUUGUUGGUGGGGGAUGGCCUACCAAGGCGACGACGGGUAGCCGGCCUGAGAGGGCGACCGGCCACACUGGGACUGAGACACGGUCCGGACUCCUACGGGAGGCAGCAGUGGGGAAUAUUGGACAAUGGGGGAAACCCUGAUCCAGCGACGCCGCGUGGGUGAAGAAGGCCUGCGGGUUGUAAAGCCCUUUCAGUGGGGAAG
rnacentral:rRNA from 1 species